rnacentral:rRNA from 1 species
GAUGAACGCUGGCGGCGUGCCUAAUACAUGCAAGUCGAGCGAACAGAUGAGGAGCUUGCUCCUCUGACGUUAGCGGCGGACGGGUGAGUAACACGUGGAUAACCUACCUAUAAGACUGGGAUAACUUCGGGAAACCGGAGCUAAUACCGGAUAAUAUAUUGAACCGCAUGGUUCAAUAGUGAAAGACGGUUUUGCUGUCACUUAUAGAUGGAUCCGCGCCGCAUUAGCUAGUUGGUAAGGUAACGGCUUACCAAGGCAACGAUGCGUAGCCGACCUGAGAGGGUGAUCGGCCAAACUGGAACUGAGACCCGGUCCAGACUCCUACGGGAGGCAGCAGUAGGGAAUCUUCCGCAAUGGGCGAAAGCCUGACGGAGCAACGCCGCGUGAGUGAUGAAGGUCUUCGGAUCGUAAAACUCUGUUAUUAGGGAAGAACAAAUGUGUAAGUAACUAUGCACGUCUUGACGGUACCUAAUCAGAAAGCCACGGCUAACUACGUG